rnacentral:ncRNA from 1 species
UUGCCCAUCCGGGCUGCGGAUACCUGCUUUUAUUUUU